UGGGGAAUAUUGGACAAUGGGCGCAAGCCUGAUCCAGCCAUGCCGCGUGAGUGAUGAAGGCCUUAGGGUUGUAAAGCUCUUUUAUCCGGGACGAUAAUGACGGUACCGGAAGAAUAAGCCCCGGCUAACUUCGUGCCAGCAGCCGCGGUAAUACGAAGGGGGCUAGCGUUGCUCGGAAUCACUGGGCGUAAAGGGCGCGUAGGCGGACAUUUAAGUCAGGGGUGAAAUCCCGGGGCUCAACCUCGGAAUUGCCUUUGAUACUGGGUGUCUCGAGACCGGAAGAGGUAAGUGGAACUGCGAGUGUAGAGGCGAAAUGCGUAGAUAUUCGCAAGAACACCAGUGGCGAAGGCGGCUUACUGGUCCGGUUCUGACGCUGAGGCGCGAAAGCGUGGGGAGCAAACA
rnacentral:rRNA from 1 species